rnacentral:rRNA from 1 species
GACGAACGCUGGCGGCGUGCUUAACACAUGCAAGUCGAACGGACAGGCCCUGCUUUUGUUGGGUUCUCGUUUGGCGAACGGGUGAGUAACACGUGAGUAUCCUCUCCUUGACUUUCGGAGAACUUCACGAAACUGCGGCUCAUAUCGGAUAUGAUCUUCUGCUCCGUGGGGGUGGAUGGUAAGUUUCGGCGGUUGGGGCUGGACUGGCAGCUUAUCAGCUUGUUGGUCGAGUAGUUGCUUACCAAGCCUUUGACGGGUAGCCGGCCUGGGAGGGUGACCGGCGACAAUGGGACUGAGAUAGGGAGCAGAAGCGUACGGGAGGCAGCAGUGGGGAACAUUGCACAGUGGGCGGAAGCCUGAUGCAGAAACGCCGCGUGCGGGAUGACGGGCUUCGGGUUAUGAACCGCUUUCGCCUGUGACGAAGCGUGAGUGACGGUAAUGGGUAAAGAAGCACCGGCUAACUACGUG